AAUGCCAUUCCACUCCCUGUUAUGUAUGAAGGCAGAGAGAAAGAGGCUUCGGCCCCAACCAUGUCAUGUUUUUGGUGCUGGUUGCUGAUCUAUCCUCAAGCACCAAGGGAAAAAAA
rnacentral:snoRNA from 1 species